rnacentral:sRNA from 1 species
GAAAGAAAUAUAUAGAUCUAAACUAACAAGUCACUGACAACUACUUUUGAGACCUAUAGACGUCUAGAUCUAGAUCUUAUACUCUUAUAUUUGUGUUUUAUUUUAAAGUUAGUUCUGUUUCUAUAGUAUAGAUGUUACGUAUAAAUAAAACGGUCUCUGUCCAGACUCAAGUCAAAGUUAUUAAGUAGAAAGUCUCUGAAAGUUUUUUAAUUUUAAAAAAGAAUUCGAUCAAAUGAUCAAGAACUUCACUUGGACCUUGUGCUAGUGUCAAUCUUGAUCUAAACUUAAACCUAUAUUAUAUAUCAUUCAUCAGCUUAGAAUGAAAAGAUGAGUGUGUGACUGAACUUAAAAAAAAGAACCUUCGUCCACUUUUAAUCAUGUUGAAGUUUGCCUAAACAAUCAGCAUUGAUGUUUUGAAUGCAUCUGUAAUAUUUAAAAAGAUUUGUUUGUGUUGCUGACUCAUCAAAUCCAAGAUUCAAAUUUUCAUCAAUACUUGAAAAAAAAAAUUGAAGAUAGUCAUGUGUUCAUCAUUAAACUCCAUGUGAGUAAGGGCUUGAGAAGCUUACAUCAUUUUGCAAAAGCCCUGAACUAAAUCUUUCUGUUGUAUGCAAUGCACAUUACCAUACAAGUUAAAAACGUGUAGCUUUCUGGUGUGUUGACAAGGUUCAAGUUAUCAUACUUUAAAUUUACAAGUUCUUUAUCAAGGUUUGAUUCAUCAUUUGCAAGACAUGUCUGACACAAAAGAUAUUUCAAGAGAAAUUUAAACUUCAAGUUUUUAUCUAUUUGAAAUGUACAAACUUCAAAUCUUCACUACUACUGUUACAUCCUUAUUAUAGCCACCAAUCUAUGAACCUAUUAUUACUAUUUAAAAAAUGUAUUUUGUCAGCACAUUAGUUUUAACACUAUAGUUUAUGUCCAAUGUACUUUCUAAACUAUUCUUAGCUAAAAUAGAUUAGUCACAUCAAAGUCGA